AUCGACAACCGGCCUAAUCCCGGAAGGCAGGGCCUGCCCCCCUUCCGGGAGCGGGGGACCCAACGGAUUGGGGUUAAUCCGGGGCAACCCGGAGGGGCGUGAUCUCUGCCGUCCUACCCGUCAGCUAACCCCGUCGGCCAGGCAGAGAAGCUUC
rnacentral:sRNA from 2 species